GCCCUUCCUACGGGAGGCAGCAGGGAGGAAUAUUGGUCAAUGGGCGGAAGCCUGAACCAGCCAUGCCGCGUGCGGGAAGAAGGCGCUACGCGUCGUAAACCGCUUUUGUCCGGGGGUAACCGCGGGGACGUGUCCCCGCCUGCAAGUACCGGACGAAUAAGGGUCGGCUAACUCCGUGCCAGCAGCCGCGGUAAUACGGAGGACCCGAGCGUUAUCCGGAUUCAUUGGGUUUAAAGGGUGCGUAGGCGGCCCGGUAAGUCAGCGGUGAAAGGCUCCUGCUCCACAGGAGAGCUGCCGUUGAUACUGCUGGGCUAGAAUCUAAGCGAGGCGGGCGGAAUGCGCGGUGUAGCGGUGAAAUGCAUAGAUGUCGCGCAGAACGCCGAUUGGGGAGCCAGCUCGCCAGCUGAGUAUUGACGCUGAGGCACGAAAGCGUGGGGAUCGAACAGGAUUAGAUACCCUGGUAGUCCACGCCGUAAACGAUGAUGGCUCGCUCUUGGUUCGCAAGGAUCAGGGGCUUAGUGAAAGCGUUAAGCCAUCCACCUGGGGAGUACGCCGGCAACGGUGAAACUCAAAGGAAUUGACGGAAGGGC
rnacentral:rRNA from 1 species